UGGACUUAUUCCUUUAAUAAUGCUGGGUCAAAAUCAGCCUAAUUAAACAUGGUGUGUCUAAAGAGAUAUUUCCGCAUAAAAAAACUCGCUAUACCCGGUUCCGCAUAUGCAUGCAUUUAUGCUCGUAGCCUAUAUCCGCAUCCAUAAUCCCCAUCCAUAGCGGGUUUGCAUUUGUGUGUAGAAAGAGCCACAUAACAUACCAUAUUAUAUUACUUACACUACAAAAGAUCCGUAUUAUGAUCCUGUGUGGAAAUACAUUGAGAAAAUUCGGUCCCGUCGGUUCUAGACAAUCUUAUUUUUCUGCACAUAAAGAAAUAAAGAAGCCAUUGCAAUUGCCGGAAAUACUAAGCCUACUAAAGGCACGAAAAUAGAGGGUAAGUUAAAAUCCAUCAUAGAAUAGGUGUCUCCAUUCAAAUUUACUAUUUCUAUCUAUUCGAUUUGAUCUAUUCAAAAAAUAUCUUAAGAUUCUUAUGAUAUAAUUAAGUAUAUCUAUUAUAACGAAUAUUGACUAUUGUAUUUUUGAGUUUGCAAAAAAAGAUUUUUUAUAGUAUAGAAUACUUUUUUUUAGAAUACUUUAGUAUUCUAAAAAAAAAAGAAUCGAAUGGAUUAUAUAAAUAAUAAGAAAAUAGCAAAAAAGGAGAAGCAAUUAAAAAGAUUUGAUUUUUCUUUUCCGAUCCUCGCGGCCUUUCUAUCCUUCUAAUCGAACUUGAAAUUGGAUUCAAAGUACGACUUAGUCGAAUGCACCUAUUUCGAAUCCAAAAUCUUUUUCGUCUACUUCCUUCCACAUGCAAUACUUAUUCAACCACUCUCGGACCCCACAAAUCCGCUUUAAGGAUUGAUACAUAGGACUUUUAGUUGAUUGAUAUUGCCGUAAAGUUGAAACUUUUUUAGGCUUUUUUAUUAAACUGUAAUUUCCUCUCUGCAUACGUGCUCUUCUAGAAGCAUAUACAAUAAUGCGCGGUAAAGGAGGGAAAAUAGCAUACUCAAUCAAGGGACAAAUUCUUUUACCUACUACAGAUCUCAUACUACCCCUUAGACUUUGUAAGGCCAUAUACCACCCCCAAAGGGUAUGAAAAUACCGGAUGACCUUAGCUUUUCGACGAAUCCUCGUCUCGUGCAGCGAAGUCCUGUUAGUAAGACCCCGCGCAAAAAUGGAUUAUAUAAGAAUAUAAUUCCGAAAGGGUGGCCUUACAAAGUUAAUGAUGUUAGUUAAUGAUGUUUCCAUUCUCAUCCUAUUCUUUAUUACAUUAACUAAAGCUUAUUUAUUUCUCUUCAUUUCUAUCACAAUAAGAUGGACUUUACCCAGGAUGAGAAUGGAUCAGUUAUUAAAUCUUGGAUGGAAAUUUCUUUUACCUAUUUCCCUGGGCAAUCUCUUAUUAACAACUUCUUCCCAACUUGUUUCACUAUAAAAUAAGAUAAUACAAUAACAAUAAGAAUAUUUUCAACACAAAAGUCCUCUCAAACAAGAGAAAGAAACAUACCUUUUUCAUAGAUAUUUCGAAUAUGUUCCCUAUGGUAACUGGGUUCAUGAGUUAUGGUCAACAAACAAUACGCGCAGCAAGGUACAUUGGUCAAAGUUUCAUAAUUACCUUAUCCCACACAAAUCGUUUACCUAUAACGAUUCACUACCCCUAUGAAAAAUCAAUUACAUCGGAGCGUUUCCGGGGGCGAAUCCACUUUGAAUUUGAUAAAUGUAUUGCUUGUGAAGUAUGUGUUCGCGUAUGCCCUAUAGAUCUACCUCUUGUGGAUUGGAGAUUUGAAAAGGAUAUUAAAAGGAAACAAUUGCUUAAUUAUAGUAUUGAUUUCGGAGUUUGUAUAUUUUGUGGUAAUUGUGUUGAGUACUGUCCGACAAACUGUUUAUCAAUGACUGAAGAAUAUGAACUUUCUACUUAUGAUCAUCAUGAAUUGAAUUACAAUCAAAUUGCUUUGAGUCGGUUACCAAUCUCCAUAAUGGGAGAUUACACAAUUCAAACAAUUAGGAAUUCAACUCAAAGUAAAAUAGACGAAGAAAAAUCUUGGAAUUCAAGAACGAUUACUGAUUACUAGAAUUUUUUUGUUAGAAUCCAAAAGUUCUUUACUAACUAGAAAGAAAAACGAAUACCUACUGCUUAUUGCAAAUUAUUCCUGAUUUUAAACCAGAGUAGAUUUUCGUGAUGUGAUUUCUAACUAUAGAAAGAACUUAUAUACAAUAUACAAAAAAAUUUCCUAAUCCCUUUUUUCUUCCUUGAAUCUUUUAGUUUUAGUCAGUUCAUGAAAAAAUUUAUACUAUUAAUUUCUUCUUAUCCAUAAUGGAUUUACCUGGGCCAAUACAUGAAAUUCUUGUGCUAUUUGGGGGAUUUGUUCUUCUACUAGGGGGUCUAGGGGUGGUAUUACUUACCAACCCAACUUUUUCUGCUUUUUCGCUAGGAUUAGUUCUUGUUUGUAUAUCCUUAUUCUAUAUUUUAUUGAAUUCCUACUUUGUAGCUGUGGCACAACUUCUUAUUUAUGUGGGAGCUAUAAAUGUCUUGAUCAUAUUUGCCGUAAUGUUCGUAAAUGGCUCAGAAUGGUCUAAAGAUAAGAAUUUUUGGACUAUUGGAGAUGGGUUCACUUCACUCGUUUGUAUAACUAUUCCUUUUUCACUAAUGACUACUAUCCCAGAUACGUCAUGGUAUGGAAUUCUUUGGACUACAAGAUCAAACCAAAUAGUAGAACAGGGUCUCAUAAAUAACGUUCAACAAAUUGGGAUUCAUUUAGCAACCGAUUUUUAUCUUCCAUUUGAACUCAUUUCCAUAAUUCUUCUAGUUUCUUUAAUAGGUGCAAUUACUAUGGCUCGGCAAUAAGAAAUACUUAGAAUGAGUCAAAAUUAUAAGAAUUUCAAAUCUAAAAUAAAUCACUAAAGAACCACAAUUUUGAUUUAGUAAAACCCAUCUACUGCCAACAAAUACCUUCUUUUCUCUUUUGUUGUGUAAUUGUUCUAUUCUAAUUAAUUCAAUCGGUUCAAUUCUUGUCCCCAUAUUGAAAUGAAUCGAGAUUGAUAAGGAGUUAGUUAAUGAUGUUUCUCUUAACAUCAAGAGAAACAUUGAGAAACAAAUUCAUUUUUAGCUCUUUUCAUUUGUUCCAAAAUAAAUUUAUUUUUAGAGUAAUCAUUAUAUCAGAGUUUAUGAAAGUAUAAAAUAACUAUAUUGUAAAUAGAUAAAGUGAUGAAUAGUGACAUUGAGAUUUAAUAAAGUAGGGGUAUUCUAGUCUUUUUGCUUUUUAUUGGUACGGGGACGGAUGUAGUAUUUAACUAUUUGCCAUUUUUAGACGUGGCAAUUAACUAGUAUUUGUUGAGAACUCACAUCUCAUUGAUAUAUAUAGAUAGUAAAUAGUUAAACGAUAAAACUAAAAGUGGCAAAUAAUUAAAUACCCCGCGUCUAAAACGUUGCAACCACACUUCCCCGCCCCUCCUCCCAAUCGUUCCCAUAGUAUAUGUAGAUGGUUUUCCAGAGGAAAAAGAAAGAUUAAGAGAAAGUGAAAUACCAACCAAUGAGAAUAUUUUUCAUAGAAAUAUUUGUGCGUAUAAACUUUAUACAUAUAAAUACUUAUAUUGAAACUUUAUACAAUUAAACUAUACGCGUAGAAACUUUUAAUAUAGCAAUAUUCUUAUAGGCAUAUAAAGUUUUAGUGUAUAUAUUUUUCCACAAACUUUAAUAAGAAAAUUAUAUGGUGCAAAAAUGAGCUGACCUGUGCGAAAAUUACGAGCAGGUCGAGCCCAUUAAAAAAAACCGCAAGAAACAUCUAGGCUAAACGUGCAAAAGAAAAAGGCUAAAAAAUGCAUUUAUUUUUCAAUAAUCCUCACACUACUUAAAAAAAGAUCUUUCCUGAUAGCCUGAUGGCUAGGCUAAUCGCGUGCGUCUAAAUGCCAGUGAAAAUCUAAGAUCUUCACAAGCGGGACUUCAACCGCUAGCGACAAUCGUUUUCGUUGGCAAUUGCGUUAAACCGGCCGCCUGUCAGUGAUAAUCGAUUUUGGGAAAAAAAAACCCAUGUAGCUACCCUCUAGCCGCCAGCAAAGAUGAAACUUGAAAAGUAAAAAUGAAUAUACCCACGUGUUGCUGUCCAUCCCCAAAUCCCAAAUCCAUAACGACGAGCACAAAUUCCACAAAAAUGGUUUGAACAUGAUCACAGAGCACAAAAAUUCCACAUUCACGUUACAAAACACAAAUUCUCCAAAUUCCACGUCACAGAUCGAGCACAAAAAUUUCACAUCACAUCACAGAGAACGAGGUGGGGAUGGAUUCGUUCACCCGUGGAUGGCGAGCGGCGGAUCCGCUCUCUCGGGACUCUCCGGCGCCGGAUCUGCUCCCCACCGCCCCUCCCACGUGCCUCUGCCGCCGAGCGCCGCCACCGCUCACUCCCCCGUGCCGCUCCCGAGGACCGGCGACAGAUCCACUCUCCCGAGGCUCACUGGUGCGGGAUCCGCUUCCCGCCACCCCUCCUCACGUCGCUGACGCUGAGAACCGCCAUCGCCCCUCCCCGUAUAGCUGACGUUGAGAGCUGCCGCCGCCCCAUCCCUGUGCCGCUCCCGAGGUCCGGCAACGGUGGAUCCGCCCUCCCAAGGCUCGUCGACGCCGGAUCCGCUCCAAGCCGUUGCUGUUGCCCCUCUCCCGUGCAGCUGCUGGAUCCUCCUUCCCUGCACCGCCGCCCCCUCCAUCCUCGUCAUCAUCACCCGACUCGGCCCACUCCGGCCAGCCGGAUCCACCAACAGGGAGGCUGGGUCACCAGACCUGGAGGCCACAGCCUCCCCGUUGGCCGAUGCGGCGGUGAUGGAACCGGCGGCGGCCGGCGGUGGUGGAGGCAACUAUGGCCGGCGACGGUGGAGAGUGAAGGGUGGCUGGCAGUAGGGAUGAAAACGGACGGAAACUAGCUUUAUCAUAUUUGUUUUCAUAUUUUUUUCGGAAUCGGAAUCGGAAUCGAAAACUCGGAUACGGAAAUGAAAUCGAAUAUUAUCAAAUACAUAUAUGGAGCAAAUACGAGAUGCAAUGAAUACGGUAGCGAAUAUUUACUGGUAUAUAAAAAACACAUCAAACUGAGUUUCUUGAUCAUUAUUUUAGUUCAACAUCUCCAACAUUUAUAUCGUCAAUUUUGUAGACGGUCUCACAACCGUAUGUGAAGAUCGAUUUUCAUAGCUGUUCCUCUAAGAGAUCCAUAUGCAAAUAUGAUUAUCAUUUUCUAUUCUCAAUACCUUUUACUAGAUGUAUAACUUACAUGCCAUUAUAUCAAUUGGAGAUGUUAUUUAUUUAACUUCACAUCUUCGAAACUUGUAAUGUUUGUCUUAUACUUUAAAUACUUUCAAAUACAAAUGUUAUAAACUACGAAGUGGUAAAUCCCGUUGAGCUCUAAAACUUUGAUAUGGUUUGAAUUGUAGAUCUGAGAUUUUGUAAAAAUUAAUAUGGUAUAUUAUAAUGAAUAUUUAGACCCUUAAAUAACCUCAAAUAAUAAAAUAGUCAAUAAGAAAGUUGUAGAUCUCAUCAAGCUCUACAAUGUUGAUAUAAAGUUUUUCUUCAUCUGUUCCAUAUGAAAAUGUUAUGUAUAUAUACGUGUUUUUUUUCUAAAAUUUGCUCAAUGUCUGCGGAUAUCCGAAAAAAAUUCCAGAUAGUUUCUAACUGUUUUCCGAUUCUGACGGAUAGUACCCUUAUUGUAUUCGUUUUUGUUUCCGAGAAAAAAACCGAAUUCGUUUCCGAAUCCGAGAAUUUCCGGAUAGUUCUGACCGAAACUAUCCGAAUCCGAGAAAUGGUCCGGACGGACGGAAACUAUCCGAACCAGUUUCAACCCUAGCUGGCGGCGGUGGAGAGAGAAGGGAGGAGGGUGGGAGAGAGGAGGGAGGCUGUUGGUAUUUCUUAACGUUACAUAUAAAAUCUGCAAACGCACAGAAGUUACCGAUGUAGAACUUCACCCUAGAGUAUUCUAAGGUAUCGAUUUUCCACAGGGAACGUGUGUGCUCAGCUCCUCAUCAGGUUCAUCCAAGGACACAAAGCAAAGGUAGGCAAAUGAUAGAGAUGAUUUAUUAGUGAGAAACAGUGUACGAAAAUCUCAAUUUAAUGCUAACGCGAUACUUCAGGCACUGGCCAGCCCGCUGCUCGCAGAUGUCGCUCUACUGCGUACCCGGACAGGGAGGACUUUAGUGUACUUGAGGGCUAUCACCACCUCUACACCCACCUCAAACCUACUGUGAGAUACGGAGCAAACACCAGAAAUUAAUUAACCAGACAGCGCGUCUACGCAAUUAAUAACUACUCUAGUGCCGGCCAAACACUAAAGAAAUCACUAUAUUUUACUAGACUAUAGUGAUUAAUGACCCCGCACGCUAAUUAAGAACUAACCAAGAAUUAAUUCUCACCGAUAAAAUCUUAAUUACUCAUAAUGAUAAUUCUAUUAAAGCAGAGUAAUUAACAAAGUAUAAGAAAUGAGAGAGGAUUACUGACAACUCCGGAAUUCCUCCGACUUCUUCUACUCUACUCUCUCCCUAAUUCUAGUAUACAAUAAAGUACAAUAGAGCCUCUUGCAAUUUAGCUCAUGUUUUUUGUGUGUUUAGAAUGAAGGAUGAGGAAGGGUAUUUAUAGGUGGAAAUGCCUUGGGAGGAUAGAGUUUCUUCCAAGCAUCCAAUGAGCAUCUUCAUCCUCCUAGUGCCAAGUGUCUCUUCUGAUGACGGUUAGAGCACCGAAAAUAGUCACAACCGUCAUUGGGAGGUCGUUAUCUACCGAACGCAAUCUGGGCCUGGGUUAGCGGCCUCUGUCACAGUUCGGCCGAACCCUGGCCGGCUUCGUUGGCCUCGGUUUUCGGCCUGGACACUCAUUUUGGAGCCCUCAAUCCAUUGCCAUGGCAGUUGGGCCCUGUUGGUAUUUCUUAACGACAUUACUAGAAAUAUAAUUCCCAGCAAUGACGCAGAAAUACUCCUGGUAUAUUAUGGUUACAGAUUUUAUCCGCAAGUGCACGGAUAUACCAUUGUAGCAUUUCACCCGAGAGUAUUCCAAGGGUAUCGUAUUUAUUUUAUCCCGUGGGAAGAUCAUGUAGAGAGAACUCAACUAAUAAUUUAUAUAUUACUUGUGAUAAUCAUAUUCUAAACAGGGGUUAAGAUAAUCCAAGGGUAGAGUGACACACAAGCAUUAACUACUCAUUCUCAUAAUAAAUCAUCUAAGCUAAGUGGAAAGAAAAGAGAAAGAAAAUCUAUUCCUAUACUUCUAAUAUACAUAGUAUACAUACAUUCUAGUUAACUGAUAUAAUAGCUAAUACCCUCUAUCCGAUGCCGUCCUGGUACUUCGAGAAGCCACCUUUGACUGCUGAGUUCCUUACGAUAGCCCGUCAUGACCAUACAACCGGGGCUAAAUACGGAGGAAUAUCCUCCCUAAGAAAUUAACUUAGGAUUAUAUACCGCGCAGAGGAAUACCCGUAUUGAGCUGUCACCAUCAGCGGCCCACCUCUCAUCCGCAAUAUAUAACCCCAAAUAAUGAUAUCCCGUAAUCUAGACACCACGUCUAAACUACCAGAUACUACUCUAAUAUCAUCGUCAUGACAUAGAGUAAUUGCAUAUGCAAACAUUAUACCCGCACCAAAGCAUCUCCCAGAUAAGCUAGCCGUAUAUUCAAUAUAACAUGAACAUAAUGUAAAGUAGGUACUCAUAUACUCGGAAAGUAUUUCAAUACCAUAAAUGUAUUUAAAAGAGUAUUCUAAUAAAAGUACAAAGCUUAUAAAAGAGGAAAGGAAAGCUGAUAGAGCCAUACCCGAACUCUUUCGAAGGUUUCCGGACUCCUGAUUUCUACUCUAUUCCUAUUCCACCACCUAGAUACUACUAAACUAAACUUGAGAGAAAUGAGAGAGCUAUUGCUUGAGGUGUGUGUUGAAGUGAAGAGAGUGAGCUCCUUAUAUAGAGGUAGUUAUGACGGUUGUGGAAGGGGAAUUGUCCGAAGUAUCCCGCAACCGCCAUCAGGAGAAUAUCUGGAGCGUCCCUGCCAAACCCCACAUCCAACGGUGGAGAAAUGGGUUCGGCCGAACCAACCUGGGGCCGACCCAACCAGCCCACAAUUUGGCUGGUGGCCUCCUAGACUUCUCUUCUCUGCAGACUUGUGAAUUUUGGCCCAAUUCAUCGUGUCAAUUCUGAGUUCUUGGCCCUUUUCAUACACAAGUCUGGUUCUCGACAUCGUCCGAUUGAUUUAUUGUCUGAGUUGAUGUCGAUUCUCCUCCACUUCAUUCUCUGCAAAAGGUUAGUAUACCUAAUACUAGUGGAAGUUUAUUAUUCUAACAGAUAUAUGCAUUGCAAGCAUCACUAGUUCUCCUCUAUUUUGGUAAUAUUGACGGUCGAAACUGAUUGAUAACGACCGUCAACAGGCCCAUUUGGAGGUGUUUAAUUGGGUUUUUAGUCCAAAACUCUAUAAGUUUGGAUAUGAGUUUUAUUCUCCUCCUUCUUGAUGUAUAUUUCCUCUCAACUUUGGUAGUUUGUCACAUGCAUCCAAAUAUACACCAACACUCAUGGAAAUUGUUAGAAAUAUACCCUACCACUAUUUAGAUGUUUUAUGUAAGUAUUGACGGUGUAAAUUUGGUACUUAACAGUAGUCAACAGAGGUGGAGGGACCAAGGUGGGUGGGUGGGUGGUGGCCUGGUGGGCCAUUGUCUUCUAUUUAUUUAGGAUAAUAACUAAGGCCAAUUUUGUACAGGACAUCGUGAUUUCACGGUUUUAUCUAUAGGACAAUGCACAAAAUGACUUUUGGGGAGAACACUCUAUGAACGCGGUAAUUUACCAGCGUACACUGCACCUAUUAUUUUAAUAAUUUUCGGUAGAAGGGGAGAAGAAAAUCACGUGAAAUGUCAGAAAUACCCCUGGACCCACAUGCUAGUCCCCCAUCUCUCUUCUCUCUUUCUUCCUCUCCCCUCCCCUACCCUCCCCAACGUGGCACCGGCUCCAUCUUCUUCCACCUUGGGACAGGGAGCUAAAGCUCCUCUCUCCCUCAAGCUGUAGGUUGAGGAGGCCAUGCCUGAGUACGCACUGUCGCCCCCAGGCCCACACCUCGCCGACCCAACCUGACCCAAGCUGGCCCAAGCCACGCGCCGCUACUUCAUGUCGUUGCUGCCGCUGCCGGUGAGCUCCGAGGCCGAAGCCUUCUCUUUUCGCGCUGUCGCUUCCCUCUCUCUCUUCCUCAACUCCGGCCGAUGUCACCCAUCAUCGAGCGCCGCCUUCUCACUGUUUCAGAGCUCAGUGUGGUGCCACGAGUCUGCCUCCAUGCGCCACCGAGCGCCAUCUCCGCCGAAUGCCGUAGUGCCGGAGCGCGCCCACGAGCGGUGGAGCGUUGCCUUCACUAGAGAGCUCAUCACCAUCCAUCCAUUCUUCGCCAAGGCUGAGGGCGUGCAAGUCACUAGUGCCAGCGUGGAGACUGCCAUGGGGGCGAGGGUGGCCACGACACUAAUAGAAGGGAUUGAAAGUGUCAAGUAGGCCUAGAGGGGGGGGGGGGCUGAAUAGGCUAAUUCAAAAAUUCAAUUAAAAGCGGAAGCAAUAAUUUUCGGAUAUUUCCAAAAUUUUCGGAUAUAUCCGAAAAUUUUCGGAGUCAGCACAAACACAAAGUAAAUCCUAGAUCUAGUUGCCUAUAACAAGAAUAUGCUAGCACAAACAGCAACUAGACCUAUAGCGGCUCAAACAAGCAAAGCUAGUGGAGAGGGAAGAAGUAAAGUCACCAAGGAUGAAGCUCACGAAGUUGUUCCCGAAGUUCGAAUCCAUGAGGGGAUUCUACUCUCCGUUAAGGAGCUCACUAAGAGCCGAGGCUUAGCUAACCCUUUUCUCAAGAGGUUGCACUAAGCACUCCUCCUUCCACUAAGGGUAUCUCUUCCCUUUCGGAGGUGAGAUCCGACCUUCACAAACUUCUCCCGACCAAUCACAAGUAGAUCGGUGGCUCGGGAGCGACACCUAGCCGCCUAGGAGUCCUCAACCUCUAAGAGUAACAAAUGAUGCAAUGAACUCCCUGAGAUGAUGCAAGUUCUCACAAAUCUUCACGAAGUCAACAACAAGCACUCACACAAACUCGAAUCCACAACUCUCUCACACACACCAAAUCCGAAUUGAACACAGGUGAGAGGGGAAACAAGAAAGCAAGUCUCAAAAGUGAAUCUCAACAAGAGCAAGCCAAGAGCAUAAGAAUAUCCAAUGUGACCAGCAACCCUCACAAGUGAGGGGAGGGAGCUAUUUAUAGCCACAGCCCAAAAUUUACCCGUUAUGCACAAUAAUUGUGAUUUUCGGAUAUUCUGAAAGAUUUUUGGAUAUGUCAAAAAAUUCCAGCUCAGCAUCAACAGCAAAGUCAACUAAAGAUUUUUCGGACAUUCUGAAAACUUCUCAGACAAGUCCGAAAACAACCUUCUGUACGUUUCUGGGAAGUCCGAAAAAACACAGAAGUGAUUUUGACUCUACUGAGGAUUUUCGGAAAAACCGAAAAUCAAUUUCGGACAAGUCCGAAAAUAUACAGAACCACUUUUGCCCUCGCAGUCAUUUUCGGAAAGUCCGAAAAUCACUUUUGGACAUAUCCGAAAAUUUUCAGAAGCGAAAACUUGUUCUGUGCAUUUUCGGAAAGUCCGAAAAUGACUUUCGGAAAACUCCGAAAAACUCCAGAACACUAAAAUCUGAGGAGAAACACUUUUAAAAAUUGAUUUUGAGCACUUUGAUCACUCCUCAUAUGUCAAUGCAUCAUCCCUCUUAAUAGUGCGGCUUUCCUAUUGACUCCAAGGAAAAGAAAAAGGUACAAUAUACCAUUGGCUCAUUUGCCGCAUCACAUCACGUCAAUGAAUUUGGCGGGAUAUGCAUUACACUAACUCAUUGAGGACAUAACAACCUUCACAUUUGCUUAAAUAAAAAUGUUAGUCCUCUCUAAUCGCAUUGUAAUUAAUCACCAAAAUCAUUAGGGGCCUAGAUGCACUUUCAGGGAUAGAGAGAGAAGAGAGAUGUGAGGGCUGACAUGUGGGUCCAGGGGUAUUUCUGAUAUUUCACACGAUUUUUCUCCCCCUUCAACCGAAAAUUAUUAUUUUAAUUAGUGUAGUGUCCGCUGGCUAAUUACCACGUUUAUAGAGUGUUUUCCCCCUAAAGUCACUUCGUGCGGUAUCCUAUAGCUAAACCGUGAAGUCAUGUUGUCCUAUUGCAAAUUUUUCCUAAUAACUAUGCAAGCAGUGCACUUUAGCUAACGAAAAUUGAUUUUCGUUGGCGGUUGUUUAAGCGGGCCAAUAGUAAAAAUAGUUACAUCUUCGCUGGCGGUCUACGUAAUCCAACCGCUAGAAAAGAGUUGUUUUCGCUUGCGAUUAUUAGCUCCUCACCCCUCGUUACAAUUUCGCUGGCGGAGUGCACACAAGGCUACCAGCGAAAAAAAAUGGUGUCGCUAUGAAAAACCAAUUUGGUACUAGUGCCAUCGCCCAGAAUUGAUUGUGCAACAAUCUUAUCGUGCUUUCCAUUCAAUGAAACAAACACAACUACUUUGCAUCUUCCUAGCCAAGACCAAACCACAGCUAGGAUGACUCAUGCGAUCUAGCCUAGCUGAACGCAACCCAAGAGGCCCUGCGUAAUCCAGAUCAAGGAUCAGAUCACAGAACAGAUAAAUAUCAAAUAAAGCAAAGCAGAUCCAUCCACAAUCCAUUAAUGCAAGCACACUCUACGCUAAUUAAUAACUAACCUCGACCACGACGAUUAAGACGUUGAGAGAACAGCCAUUAGCAUUUGUUUUGUAAGCACUACAGCAAAAGCAGAGAUCGGGGAUCAAGGAGGACAAGCGACAAGGAGACAAGAGGAGGCACCAAAGCCAAUCAGUACGAGCUGGAGCCUGCACGGUCAGGAGGAAGAAGUACAUUUCAUACCGUCCCAAAAAAGAUUAUUUUUGCCUCCUAACUUUUGUCCUAAAACAUUUUUAUCAAUCGUUAUAUUGGAUAUUGUAAAAGUAGAGGAUAAAUACAUUGAAAAUAGAUAAAUUGACGAAAAACAAUUGCAUUGAUAUUUGACAAAAUCAAAGUAUACUUUUGUUUUUAGUGUGUAGGAUGGGUGAAACAUAACUUAUCUUAGGACGGUGAUAAUAGUUACUAAUCCCUCAAUUCCAAAAGACUAGAUGGAAAAGACCACUACAAAGUUGUAGCUUUGUUAGGUGUAGUAGGUAGAGUAAGCGUUAUUAAAGGAUAAAACCUGUCAAUUUACAUGCUGUCAAAAUCGGUUUUCUUAAAUAAAAUUAGUUGUCAGAAAUCGAGUCCUUUUGGUACAGAUGGAGUAUUUUGUUUUUAGAACAUAGAGUAAAAAUCAACUUAAAUAAAUUAUCCCUACCAUUUUAAAGGCACAAUCCUCCUUUCUUUGCUCUCACCCUGUGAGCAGGAGGUUGUACUUUUCUUCGUGUAUGCUUAACCAGAUCCAAUUGUUUCUCCUCAAUCCACCCAUCCGACCCAACCAACCCCUAUCAUAUCAUAUCUUCCUAUAUACUCCUAUAAAGCAAGACGUGUAAGAAACCACAUUAUCAGCAAUUUUAAGUACCGUGAGAUAGGAGCUUCGGCCGAGACCGUACAAACCAUGUGGUAUGGUAUAUGGCACCCCCUUUCGACCGAUGCUCCUGCCGAAACCUAUAUCGUUCCUGCAAGUAAAGUUUGUUUGUUUCUACGCUUAGAAAAAAUUUCUUUGAGAAAAAUCUCCUCUUCGCAUUCGUUGCAAAGCGUCGAAGGGGGGUUAUUUAGUCUCUUUUAUUACUAUGAAUAGUAAUGGGCCCUGUGGGCUUUUCCUUCUCCGUAAUCAGGCUUUUUACUGUUCGGCACCGUCCCGAUGGGAAUUUACCGUUUCGUCUGCCCUUUGACACGUGUCAGAGCUCGAUUGGUUGGCAGGCGAAUGGUCUCGCUACGGGGUUAUAUAUACCCCCAAAACGGCCUGCUAUUUUUCACUCUCCCCGUGCUCUCCCCUUUUUACCGCUUGACACGUUCCGUGCUGUCACGCCCGGAAAUUCACUAGUAAUUUCCGAACUUAUUUGUGCAUAAAAUCCUCGUCCAGGAAUCAGCCGAGGUACACAAACUGACAAUUUAAUAUACAGAUUCAUCAAAUUAACUAAAACGAUAAAUACUUACUUAAGAGGCACUUAGUCCUCACCAAGAAGAAAACUGCAGCGGAAAAUAAAAUCUAGCGAAGCUCCGGCUCCACUCCCACAGGCAGCUCAACUGGGGUAUAAGCCAAACGUCUUCUCCUUCUGGAUCCUUUUUCUUCAACUGAGGUUGAUUGAUUAUUGCAAGAAUGAGCAUAUGACAUACUCAACAAGCCACACAGCAAAUAUGCAAGUGCACAAGGAUACCAAAGGAUGGCAUAAUAUAGGCUCAUUUGCAAAAGCAGCAUUUAGCAAAACAUUUAAGAGAAGUAAAACAGUGGAGUAAUUAAUCAGAAAUUUUAAUCAACACUGAACAGCACACCCAUGCUGCACAGGCCCAACCAUCCUGAACAACCAUACCCGGCUGUACAGAUCUAACUCCAAACCAGGAGCUAAGCAAAUUAUUACCAGAUAUAACAUCCAUAAUUAUUGUGAGAGGUGUGAGACUAAUCACGAAAAACAUUGCUCAACCCGCCCAUAACCGCGGGCACGGCUAUUCGAAUAGUUUUACUCUGGCCAGAGGUGUACCACUGUACCCACAAGACACAGCCUCAUCAUCAUGUCUACCAUACGUCGCGAUACUGGAAAGUACCCGAAUAGAGGCUGUGACAAUACCCUUUGCACAAUACAACUCACCACAGUGCACCAUUCCUGGAUCAUAAUCACCCCCUCAAAAACCAGAGGCAUGGACUCCCCAGCGACCCCCGUGGGCUUAUCUCUGCCACUUCUCAGUUUGGUGCUCCGCAAUGAAUCAUGUUAUACAAAAGGUAAAGCCGUUGCCCACGCUGGCUUAUGGUUGGCACGGUUAAUGUUUCACAAUAGUAGCUCGCGAACCGGUCCUUAAUUGCCAUGAGCACGACCUUCAAAACCAUGUGCUCACAACCCACCAUUAAUCAUAUUUUAAUUAAUUAUCAUAACACGAUUAACCAUCGUGAGCUACCAUUAAAUAUAACCAUAAAUAAUAAUGUAGUAUAUAUGAUUCAUCCUAUUAGUGAGCUAAUGUUUCUAAGCAUGGCUAAGCAAUUAUAUCUAACAUUUAGCUGAACCAAACCAAUACAUAAGGUUCAAGCUAAUCAAUUUAUUAGCCAAGGUAUCAAGGAAUAGGGCAUUCAGUGCAAAUUGGCCAUAACAAAGGAAUAGGUUCACACCACCCGGUGACAUUCGAAAAUAAAUGCACAGUUGAAAUAAAUAGAGAAUUUAAAUAUAUGAUCAACAUGCUCAAAGGAUUGUGUUUAGGAUCUGUGUGACUUGCCUUGCAAUAAUCGGUCUUCAAUUAAUCUUCUUGAAUACUUCCGGCGCACUCACGAACCUUCGCAACGACGGAAACGACAAGCUAACACGCAAAACGAAGAAAAAGACUAAUAAAAACCAAAUAAACAGUACAUAUAAAGUAAACAAACAUGUAGAUCAUGAUUUUAGAUGAAUUUAGCAACUUGAACCACUCAAAACCGAGUUACGAUGAUUUAGUUAUGAAUUUCCGAAGAUUUAAUCUAUUAGAAAAACAGGAAAAAGAAAAACGAUGAUGACGUCAUGAUGACCUCAUCAAUGGCCGGACCAAGAUGGCGACCUCGCCGGAGAUUGGAUGGUCGGCUGCGACUUUGGAGGACAUGUACACGUAGAGGACGACGAGACGAACCCAACGGUACUCACCCUCGAACCAAACGACGAACGACGACGGCCGGCGACGAGGUCUAGCGGCGGCGCGGCUUCGGUCGACGGCGGCGACGGGGCUGCGGUGGUCGGCGGCUUCGGGGAGAUAGCGGCCGGGCUUCUCCACCCUCCCGCGCACCUAACGGUGGUGACGGAGACCGGCGGCGACGACGGAGGCGGCGGCGCGACGCGGAUGGAGCUCGGCCGGCGACGACGGCGGGGUGGAGCACGUGGCGGCGGCGCUACGAGGCACGGGAGAUCACGGGAGAGGGGGCAAACGAAAGAGGAGGACUAGGGGGUCCUAUUUAUAGCCUUGGAUUGAAGAGAUCGGACUCCUCCCGCAAGAAAUCGAUCCGGGAAAUCAAAAACUCGGUUUUGGAGAUAAACUCGAAAACGAGUUCGAUUCGGAUAAGAUACUCAACGAUUAGCUCCGAUUUUUGGGGGUAGAGAUAGAGGAGGAUAAGAGGAAUAUUUCCCCUCAACUAAUUUUAGAAAAACACAAGGGGAAAGGUCAGAUUUGGAGGAGAAAAACCGAACCAAAUCGGUCUCAGUUCGGCUGCUAGAGGUAGAAGAUAAACAGUGUCGAGGGACGCAAAUUAGACUUUUCGUCUUGGGCUGGCUGAAAACAAAGCAAAGAAAGAAAGAGAAGGGGGAAGCUCGGCUGGGCCGACUUGGGCUGCACGGCCGUGCACACAAAAGAGGGAGAUGGGCUGGAAAGGGCCCAAGACAAGGAAGAGGAUUAUUAUUACUUUUCCAAUUAAAUUAAUCAAUGAAAUGAUCUUUGAAUUGUUAAAAAUACUUCCUAUGCUCAAAUAAUUCCAAGAAAAAUCUUGAACAUACUUGGACACCCAAAGUAUUUAACAAUAUUAAAACCAGACCAUUUAAUGAUUAAUUUAGUAUGUAGGUAAUUACUGAAAUGCUCUUUGUAUGAUUAAAAAUUAAGAAUUGAGCUCCGAAAAGUCUGAGAAAAUUUCAGAGAGUGUAAUUAAUCAUGGAGAAUUUAAUAAAAAUUAAAUCCAUCCAUGCUUUAUAUUUAGGAAAUUUUAUUUCCCACAUUUAACUUCACUUGUAAAUUAAUGAACAUUUAAUAUAAAUUCUAAUAAUAAUUUAUUAAAUAAUUUAUAAAUCCUGAAACAAAAAUCAGGAUGUGACACGUGCUCUCUUCGCUCUCUUGUUUUUUAGCUUUUUCGCCAUCGUCGUGCUCCUAGCCUUUCGGCUUUUUACCUCUCUUUCCUGUGCUACGAGCCCAAUGGCUCCCCGCAAGCCUACCAAGGCCGGAUGUGGACCCCCGUUUUUAUCACAGGAAUCAAUCGUGUAAAUAGUACCAUUUCCCUGGAUCAAGUAGUCUGGUACACACGAACUCAUAGCUAAAAUAUCAAGUGUACAUACACGAGAGUCUAGUACGAAUUAUUACAUCAUAAGCCCGCAGGCACAGUCUUAAAUCAUCGGACCGAGCGGUCCGGAAUACAUUCCAAAAACAGAAGUAGGUAAGGCAGCGGAGUUAAGGCAGCGGCACGCCAUUGCCACAGGCAACGACCGUAACUAAGACCUACUGAGCGUCAUCGUCUUCAUCUCCCUCCUGAUAGUAGGCAUAGGGAUCCUCCAAAGCUUCAUCUCCCGCUUCUGAUUAAUUUUAUAUUUGCAAGGAUGAGUACCAACCGUACUCAGCAAGUCACCACAGCAACAAUGCAUAUGAAAGGGGUAUUUCAAAGGAUGGCUAUGGCUCUUUUGCACUAAGCCAGUUUUGUAAUUCUUUUCACAAACCUAAGACCUAGCAUUGACUGAUCAAAUUUUAGUACCAGUGUUCAUAUUUAAACAAUGACGGUUCUGUCCACCAUCCAUUGUGUUCCCAAGGAUAGCUUCCCGCCAUUGGGUCGUCAUGGUUUUCUGAGGACGUCCACAUUCCCGCCUCUUAGGAAGUGGUUCCAUCAGCAUAAAAAUCAUCAUGCAAUAUCCCAUCCCACACAAGUUAAAGAAUUUAGAGUCUAGCCAAGUGUAAUACAUGUCCCGGUGCUCAAUAACCGUGAGCACGGCUAUUCGAAUAGAUUUGGUUUACUCACACUGCAGUGGGUGCAUACUUUACCCGCACUCCACGACUGCCCAACACAUGAGCCUCGUCCCAACACAUGAGACGCGUCACGGCAAAGCUUUUCGAUAACCUCGCAUUGGCAGUACCCGCUCCAUGAACUUAAAUCCUCAUGCACUCUAGGCAUCCAUGUUUCUAGCAGUGUGAGGAGUUCUGGCGCUCCCUGGAAAGAGAAGUCUCACACAUAUUAAAUUAUGGUUCAAGUUAAGUUCUCUCUCUCACACACUCAUGGCAGUCCUACCAAUGGCGACACCGAUAUAGGGCACGCCUCUCGGCCCUACCUCAACGGCUGUCCCAUCGUAGCGCACCUGCCUCACUCAGGGGUGAACCAUCUAUGCAGGGAUACUGCCUCCGCUCGGCUAUCUAAUCCGCUAGGUCUAUACCCAUUCGAGAAGUACGGUUGUACGGGGGUCGUUUCAUGCUUAACUUCAUGGCUCGGUCCUUAAUUGACCGGGGACGGUACUAGCCUUUCCAGAUACCACCCAAAUCCUCCGUCCGCCCCAGUCGAAAACAAUUGUUUAAUUUUAUUUCUCCUUUCACAAAUCAUGUCAUCAACAUCAUGGCAAUGUGGCGCUCAUGUCUCCACAUGCCGCAUCUCAAUUACCUUCCCAAAGGUAAUUGCCCAAGCAUAUAGCAUUUGAUAAAUAUGAGUAUGCAUGAUUCUAGAAUGGCAUUUCUAAGCAAUUGUCAUAAUUGACUAGGGACUCAUACGUAAUCAUGGUUACAAGGAUUUUAAGGGUAAACAAUAAUCAAGGCAUGGCAUAAUCACAAGUGGGAUGUUCAUCAUUGCAUACAAUUUUAUUUGUAAACAAAACAAUUUCGCAAUUGGGAUCAACAUGGUCAAGGAAUGGUGAUGACUUGCCUUGCUCAAGGUCUUGCGGGUCUUGGCCUUCACCCGGAUCCGCGGCUCCCUCGGUCUCUAUAAUUAUGUGCGAAAGAACAAUUUGAAUUCGAUUAGAAUUCAAACAAAAUCCAAAUAAAUCCAAAUGAAAGUCGAAUGCGAAAGUCGAUUCCUUUAUUUUAACUUUAUUAUUCGCGAACUAAGGCAAACCCAAUUUCGAUUCAAAGUAUUUUGCGGGUAUAAACGUUUUGUUGUCAUAAGUUUUUAAUUUAAUCUACCCGAGCAUUAUAUCCAUAUAAUAGGUUAGAGAUUUCUAUCGCGAGCUAAAUAUCGGACGAAAUCCUAGAAAUAUUAUAUGAUUUAAUUUAGUCUAUGACUAAAUGAUUAAAUAUAAUACACGGCUAAAAUCCCUAGUAAUUAAAUCCGAAUUUCUACCGUGAAUCGAUUACUUAUAGGGAUUACCCAAAAAUAAUCUAUAAUAAUCUAUAAGAAUUCAUCUAUUUGUUUAGUUAUUAAUUACAUUGAAAUUACUACCGCGAAUUGAUUUCUUAUAGAAAUUACCAAGAAUAAUCCAUAAUUUAUAUUAAAUUUUGCAAUUCUAUGACUAUAAUUAAUCUAUAAUUAAAUUCUAAUUAUUUUAAAUUUUCUAAACUUGCCUAAUCUCCCUCUAAUUUCCUAUUUAUUUCCUUUUCCUUUUUCUCCCUUUCCUUUUUUUUUCUUUCCUUUCUUUUUCUUUUCUUUUUCUCUUUUUUCUCUCUUUUCCUUUUCUUUUCUUUCUCUCCUCCCUCCCGGCUUCUCUCUCUCUCUUCCUCGGCUUCUCCCUUUCUCUCUCUCUCUCGGCUCCCUGCUACUCGGGGCGGCGACGGUGACCGAGCAAGGGGAGGAGGCGGCGGCUUACCGACGGCGGUGGCGGCGACGGCGCACGGCGCACGGCGCGGCGGCACGAAGGCGGCAGUGCGGCGGCGCGAGAGCGGCCCGACGGCGACGGCGGCGCAAGGCGGCGACGCACGACGCGGCGGCUCCGGGGCGACGGCGCAGCGGCUUCGAAGGUGGCGGCGCGGCGGCAAGACAACGGCGGCGCGUGGAAAAGGGGAAGAGGAAGAGGAAGGGGGAGAUGGAGUGGGGAAAAUGGGGAGGGGGGUGGAGUUUUAUAGGGGAGAGGAGGGGGAAAGAAAGAGAAGGGAAGGGGGCGACGCGACGGCGGCGCGGUGGCGCGGGGCGCGAGGCGGCGAUGGGGCGCGCGGCGACGGGACGUCGACGGCGGCGGCGACAGCGGUGGCGCGCGGCUCGGGGCGGAACGCGACGGGCGGUGACGCGACGGUAGCGCGGCGCGACGGCGACGGGGCGAGACGACGGGCGAGCGGCGAUGGGACGGGCGGGCGGCUCGGGGCGCGAGGCAGCGCGGCACGGGGCGCGUCGCGGGGCGACGGGGCGGCGCGCGGCGCGGGGCGCAAGGCCGGCUAGGGCGGCGCGGCAGCGAUGGUGACGGCGACAGGCGGCGAUGGCGGCGUCGGCGUGGCGGCAGGCGAUGGCGCGAUGGGACGGUGACGGCGACGGCGCGGCAGCGGCGGCGCGGGGCUCGGGGCAUGGCCGGGCGCGUGGCAGAGAAGGGUCUAGGGCUGGGGACCGAAAUCAAACACCUAUGAGGCAAUGAACAGUGACUUUUCCUAUUUAUCCUGAUUUUAGUGUAUUUUCCAUAUAAUUUUGAUUCCACAAUUCCUAAUUUUACAUAUAUGCAUUUUACUCAAUAUUUGUGUUAUCUUAACUAAUGAAUUCACCCUAGAUUAAUAUUACUCAUAUUUUAUUUUUAUAUAAUUUAUUUGAGUUUUAAUUAGGGUUAAUUCUUAUUCCAUCGUAUUUAAAUUUAAUUGAUCCAAAUAUGGUCGCGAUAAUAUUUUAUUUAUUACUAUCCACACCUAAUCUUUAUUUUUAAUUUAUAUUUAUUUUACCAAUUUGUUUUUAAGGUUUAUUCCUGAUUAACUAUUCUUUACUCACGAUUAAUAAUCUUCGAGAUCAAAUCCAGAUAAAAUAGGCGAAUAAGAUCGGCAUGAUGCAAUUAAUUUAAAAAGGCUUUUGAAAAUCCGUAUUUUUAGAGUUUUGAUUUUGUCGGUCGAAUUUUCAGGGUGUUACACCGGAUCAACUGGCGAAGAUCCUGGAAGCCUUGGCGAAGGAUGGUCGUGCUUCCUUGGCAAAUCACUUGUCAAAGAGGUCGACUUGGGCAAACUGGUAUCAUCCGGUUCUCUCACAGAGGGCCAAGGAUCAUGCGGGGGCAAGGCCGUUGUUCCCUCACCUGGGGAUGGGCAAACGGUUGUCUUCGCCGCAUACUUCGCUGCUGGGCUUCGCCUCACAUGUGGCAACUUCUUGCCUUCGGUGCUUUCGAUGUAUGAGGCUAGGCUUCCCCAGCUUAGCCCGUUGGCGUUCCUGAAGCUGGCGGUUUUCACUUGGAUGUGCCGGACCUGUGGGUUCGCCCCUACCGCUGAGCUCCGAAGCACUGCGUGUUGCUAGGCGAAUAGCUCGGCAGUAGGGGCGAACCCACAGGUCCGGCACAUCCAAGCGAAAACCGCCAGCUUCGGGAACGCUGACGGGUUAAGCUGGGGAAGCCUAACCUCAUACAUCGAAAGCACCGAAGGCAAGAAGUUGUCGCUUGGGAGGCGAAGCCCAGCAGCGAAGUAUGCGGCGAAGACAACCGUUCGCCCAUCCCCAGGCGAGGGAACAACGGCCUCGCCCCCGCAUGAUCCUUGGCCCUCUAUGAGAGAACCCGAUGAUACCAGUUCGCCCAAGUCGGCCUCUUUGACAAGUGAUUUGCCAAGGAAGCACGACCAUCCUUCACCAAGGCUUCCAGGAUCUUCUCUAGUUGAUCUGGCCUUGGUAGGUUUGCGGGGAGCCAUUGGGCUCGUAGCACAGGAAAGAGAGGUAAAAAGCCGAAAGGCUAUGAGCACGACGAUGGCGAAAAAGCUAAAAAAUAGGAGAGCGAAGAGAGCACGGAACGUGUCAAGUGGUAAAAAGGGGAGAGCACGAGGAGAGUGAAAAAUGGGGCGGCCGAACGCACAAAUGGUAAGAUCCUAGAAGCACUAAAGAAAAGGCUUGAGGAGGCAGCGAAGGGCAAAUGGCCAGAGGAAAUGCUAUCUGUUCUCUGGGCCCUUCGGAUGACCCCCACAAGACCAACCAAGUUCAGCCCGUUCAUGCUUCUUUAUGGCGAUGAGGCAAUGACCCCGACAGAGCUAGGGGCUAACUCACCAAGGGUGACGUUCUCUGGGGGCGAAGAGGGGCGCGAGGUGUCGCUCGAACUCUUGGAGGGGGUAAGAGUCGAAGCACUCGAGCACAUGCGCAAGUAUGCCACAGGCACUUCGGCAACUUACAACAAAAAAGUUCGACCGACGGAGCUAUUGCCUGGUCAUCUUGUCCUAAGGAAGAAGGCGAAUCCGAUAGCCGUCGGCAAGAUUGAAUCGAAGUGGGAAGGACCGUACCUCAUCAAGCACAGGUCCAGGACGGGGUCCUUUCGACUGGUGACACUAGAAGGCGAAGAGUUCGACCAUUCCUGGAACGCUGCCUCUCUCAAGCGUUUUUAUGUCUAGAACGGGUGGCACCCAAAUCGCCAACUUGUAAAAAUGUAUAUAUCGUUAUGUAAGCCCUUUGGCACUAUGUAAGCCUUUCGGCAAGAAAAAAAAAGAAACAAAAGAGGAAAAUGAAAAAAAGUCAAAAAAAACUGGAUGUAGGGCUAUUAUCCACCACGGAGGCCCGAACCAGUAUAAAAUCUCUGUGUCCUCCGCCUUCUUUUUGUUUGUUUGUGUGAUUGAUAAUUUGUGGAAAAACCCUAAGGCAAACGCCUAUUCAGCGAAAAAUGCCAGGGGGGCGAAACGAAUCGGCCGAAGCAUCGCUCGGCGAACGUUGAAACCGAAACAACUUGUUUCGGGAAACAACUAGCUAAACACCGUUACACUCGAUCAAAAGAAAAGCAUGAGUGCUUCCUACAACGUAGAACAAAGCUGAUCGAAAACGGAAGCCGAAAGCUGAAAAGUCAAAACCUAUUUCGCUAAUAUACACAAAGGGGCCGACACGUUUUGACCCAACGAAAGCACGCGAAGUGACAAUGCAAAAAAAAGCGAAAAGGAAAUAAAACGCACCUUUAUUGAUUUUAAGUAAAAAUGUAUCAAAGAAUACAAACCCGACGAACAUGGUACAAGUGAAAAGAAAAGAGUAAUGGCGCUACAGCCCAGCUUACAGAUAAAUAACAUCUUCGCCCCCACGAUCAAUAUCUCCCUCUAAGGGAAGAUCAGGCGAACUAGGUUCGUCAUCACUACUAAUAUCAUACACGACCCUAAGAGGGGAAGGAGGCGAAAUACAGACUAGACUGUAAUGACACUGGAAGAUUAAAUCCUGCCGAUCAGUCUUCUGAUGGUUUCGCCAAAAGCGAACCAUAUCCUCCAGUCGUCUUGUAUGAACAAGGUCGUAGUCUUCUAUGGUUUGCUCGGGGUGCGCCCGCAUCCAACCGAUGACCUUGAACACCUUAUAGCUGCGGCCGUUUAUCACCAUUUCGCGAUAAACAGGCCGAAAUGGGCAUCGCACCUUCGGCAAACCCUUCAACGCCAUGAACUUCUCGUUGCUGUUUCGCCAAUUUUUCGCGGGAGGUCGAACGCAAACCUUUCGGCUGAACGCAUGCUGGCAAAACGCCAAAAAAAGGAGAAGUACAAAAAAGGGAGGGAAAUAUAGACGAAGAUCAGCCCCGAUUUCAAACAGAACAAUUAAAUAAGCGAAAGGGUUAUACUUUGCCAGUAGAAUAAAGACUAUAUUAACUACACGGCUUAAAGCCAAACAGACAAAAAGUCUAUAUACAAAAACUUAGGCUACAAGAAGGUCCGAAAGGAUCAAGGAAAAAAUAAAAAUAAUAAAAAGACACGAGGGCGAAGGGCCUCACACCUCAGGGUGGUCUUGGCCUCCGUCGCCUUCGCCCUCGUGCCCGGGGGACUGUUCCGACGGCCCGGGACCCUUUUCGGAGUUGGCGGCAAUGGCCUCCUCAUUCCUCGCGAUCCUUUCAAGGUUCUCACGGAGUCGAAUCUUUGCACAAUCCCGGCCGCCAUACUCCCAAAAACCCUUCCGAAAGGCCCUUAACGCAGCUCCGAAGCACUGCGUGUUGCUAGGCCAUUCUUCCUUCACGAAAUCGGGAAAAUUCCCGAUGUGGUCGCAGCCGUGCGCAUGCAAGAGGCUGAGAACGAAUCCCGCCGAAACACGAGCGCAACAGUCCCCGUAGGCGCCUGCCACUUCGGAGAAAUCGAGUGCAAUCCCGCCUUCGCCCGGAGCACCUUCCGCCCGCGCCCCAAGGUCCUUAUGGGCCAGCCGGAGAGUGUAACAGGCCUCCUUGGCGGACUCUGUGGUUGGUACCAGGGUCGCGGCAGUAGCUUCGGCCGACGCAAGAUGGGCUUCGUGGGAUUUAAUCUUCUCCUCGGCCGAAGCAAGUUGUCUGUCUCGUUCGGCAUCCCGCUUGCAUGCUGCUUCAAUGUCAGAGCGGAGAGACCUGUUUUCAGCAUUCGCCUUCUUCAAAGUCUCCGCCACCACACGCCUUUCAUCUUCCUUGUGGCGAAGAUCUUCUUCGGACUUGCGAAGGCGAAGGCGGUACCCAUCUAGUCGCUCUAAGGCGGACUUCUUGGCACUUAGGUGCGCGGCAAGGCCCUGAUAAAAAAAUAUACAUUACGUCAGAGAACUAGCGAAAGAGCAAAAUUCAGCACGCAAAAAUAAGUCAUACCUGCACAAACAGGCUCUCCACAGCCGCGCAGCUUUCGCUAAACUCGUUCAGUUCGGUGAAGAGCCCAAGGCCUUCGGUCGGCGCUAUGACCUGGCACACCCCGUCCACGAACGGAGUGAUCUCCGGCCGCGUGGCAAAGUCGGCGGGGACGAAAUGUGGGGCGGUAAGCGUCACGUCCGAAACGCUCGCCUCAACCGCCGGGGCCUUCCCCUCUUGUUGACGAAUAGGUGAAGGGACCACAUCGACCCGUUCAUCUUCAACAACGUUCGCCCCAGCGGCCGGGGCUGAGGCACUCCUGCCUGUCGCCGCUUCGGCAUCGCUAGCGGGUGGCGGAGACAUGCGCCUGCCACGGCAAGUUGCGCGCCACAACACCGGCGAAGUAGGGGUCCCGUCGGACCCUUCGCUGUCCGAAAAGCCAUGGCCGACCUGCACAACCUUCCCUUUCUUCUCUUUCCUUCUAACAGCCAUCACCGGUUUUGCAGCUGUGCUGGAGAUCGCCAAGAGGGUGUUCGCCACGACGAUAUCUUGUGGUCGCGUAGGCGAAACAUGAGAGCCUGCCCCAGAUUUCGCAGGGGUAGGGCUGGGGGUAUAACCAUGAGAGCCAUCCUCCUCAGAACCGGCCUCCGCAUCCUCCUCUUCCUCCUCCCCAUCACUUUCGACGGCGGCCUUCGCGCUACGGCGAGUUCGGACUUGGCCGCCUUUCGCGACCGCACGCUUGCGCUUUUUCGAAGUGCCAGCCUCAUCAUCGCCGGCCCGAGAGGGGUUCGAUCGGCUCGGCAAUUCGCCGGUAUAGACACGAUUCACUCGGCCGUCGGCUUGGCGCUGGAGCAAGCGGGCGAACUCGGCUGUGGUUAGAGCCCCGAUCAUCUUCGACGCCUCAAUCUCAGCGUCUUCCAAAGUCCGCACUGCGAAAAGAGAGGAACACAACCGUUUAGCCUAAAAAAGUGCUUCCAUGAAGGAAGUAUGCGGCCUAAGUCAAAAACAAAAACCUUACUUUCGGCCCCGGCGGGGAGAACAAGGCGGGGAAGCCCAAGAACUUCUUUGCCCUCGUUCACGGAAAUGUCCCACACACGGGCGAGAGGGGAAAUCCGAAGGAGAAAAAACUCCUCGCAAAAAUCCCGGGUGCUCAGCCGCCGGGCAACCUUGCGAAGGAUAAUGAGCCGGGACUCGAGAGUCCUAUCGAUCUCCACGUUUGGCUUCACGUUGAUGGAGACGGCAGAACGCUCAAAAAGUAGCCAGUUCGCCUAAGCAUCUUCGGCGGAGUAGGGGUUGCUGAUGUAGUGUCACGCCCAGAAGUUUCCCCCUUUUUCCUUGCUUUAAAUAUUUGUUAAAUAAAUCGUCCGAAGAAAUUAUCUUAAUUAACCUAGAGCUAAAUCCCUAGUUAAUAAAUGCAAUUAAUAAUCGGAAAUAGCGUGGUGGAAUUUUUCUUGAGUUCCCCAUGCUCCAAUGCAUUAACAAGAUUUUUAGUGGAAUUUUCAGAGCCUUGGAAAUAAUUUUAACCAAUUAAAAAUCACCAAAGUGCAAUUUUAAAUCCCAGGAAAAAUCCUUUCUUCUUUUUCUUUUUCUUUUCCUUCUUUUUUCUCUAUUGGGCCGUCGGCCCACUCCCUCCCGCGCUCGGCCUCCUUCCUUUGGGCCGGCCCAUUCCCCUUUCCCCUCCCCGAAGUCCUACCUCCCUCCCCUCUCUCCGGGACGCUGACAGGUGGGGCCCACCUGUCAGGUCGUCCCCUUCCUCCAGUCGCCUGCCCCACGACGGCAACCGCCGCCGAAACCGUCCGCGCCACCGCCUUCUUCGCUCCUCUCGCGCCCACGCCGCGCCGCUCCCGCGUCCUCCCCACGUCGCCGCCCUCUCCCCCGUAUCUCCCGGCCCUCGCGCGCGCUCGCAAGGGGCGGGAUUCGAAUUUGAAUCCCCCCAUUCUCUCUCUCUCCACCCCCACGUCGCCGGCCAAAUCGGCCACCUCCCCGGCCACGUCCGCCCCCUCCCGCACCUAUAAAUCACUCCCCACGUCCCCCUCUCUCGUUUUUCGCACUCGCCGCGCCCUCCCGUGCUUCCUAUCGUCGCCGCGCCGCUCGCCCCUUGUGCCGCCGCCUACCGCCGUCUCCGGCCGCGCGCCACCGCCGCUAGAGCCGCUGCCGCGCCGUGAAGCCGCCGUCGUCGCGCUCGCGGGUGCCGUCCGCUCCUCGGCCGCCGCUUGGUUGCCGCCAAUCACCCCCGAAGCCCCGUUUCCCUCGCUCGCCGGUGAGCUCUCCUUUUUCAUCCAUCUCCGGCCGGCCACUUUGGUCGUUGCGGUCGUCCUCUCCACCCCUAAUCCCUCUCCUCCUUUCCUAUAGGUGUCGCCUCCGCCCGUCCGCCCCUCCUCGUAGCCGGGUCACCGCCGCCUUUCAUCCCCCGCUCUGGUCGCCGUGCUCGCCGGUGAGGCUCCCCUCUGCUCCCCUUUUUCCCUCUCUCCCGUGUGCGCCGCCGUCCUUCACGCGUGCGCCGUCACCUUCGGCCGCUGCCACCACUUUUCGCGCCGCCCGCCGCCGCCUCCCACGCCGCCGGUUGCCGUCGCCGGCGACCGCAUGCCGCCGCCGUUCGCCAUGCUUGCCGGCCGGCUUGAAGCCGAGGCCGAGCCCGGUGGCUGCUCCCUGCACCGUCCGAUCGGCUUGGGCCGAUCCGGACCCUUGGUCCCGUGGACCGGCCGCCUUGAGCCGCUGACAUGCGGGCCCCGCCUGCCGGCGCCCCCUUCCUCUCCCCUUUGAGCCGCUGACCCGUGGGCCGCGCCUGUCGGCGCCGCCCCCCCCUCGCUGACGUCAGCCCUGGGUAUUAUUGCGCAAUAAAUUGAUUAAGGACUUUUUCUUUAUUAGUAAAAACGCAGUUUAUCUUCUAAAAUUCAUAAGUAAUUCAUCCGAGCUCCGUUUAAGUCCAUUCAAGUCUCAGUAAAUCAAGAAAAAUGCAAAGAAUCCAUUAAAAAUAGUUUUGUUUCCUGUUUCAGUAGUCUUAUAGCAUGUUUUGCUUGUGUGCUUUGUUUGUCGCGUAGGUUUCGGCCGUUUCGUCGAUCCGCGGUUUCUCAAAGACGUUGCUGUGGUCUCAUCAGUUCGAGCAGCAAGGCAAGUCAUGCAAUACGUUUGAUCAUAUUGUACCCAAUUUACCAAUAUCCCGCAUUUCUAUUAAAUGUUGCAUUCUUUUACAAUGUAAUGUGGGAUGGGUUCUAUUCCUCAGCCACAUAUUGGUUACCUUAUGCCAUUGAUAACUUGGGUAUCAAAAUGACUAGAUGUUGGCUUAGGAAAUGCUUAGCCAUGCUUAGUUCAACUAGUACACAAAUGGGGAUCACAUUAUUUCGUAGACUCUAACUAUUGGCAUAGCUUUAGAUUGGUGCCACCGCAAGGGUGUCAGUUAAUUAAAAUAUUCUGAAUGGCGGGCUGUGAGUGCAUGGUUUUGCUGGUCGCACCCAUAGCAGUUAAGGACCGGUUCACGGGAAACCCUGGGAGACUUACCGUGCUUACCACAAGCGGGAGUGGGUAACUGCUUGAUCUGAAGUAUAGCUCGACCCUUUCCUAGGCACCGGUGGCAAGGGUGGGCGUGAUGGAGUUGGGUCGGCCGAGGUGUUCGGUUGUCCAGCUGCCGGAUUCACCGCGGCGCAAGAGGGGACCGCCCACUGCCUUUUGAGGGGUGGGGGUGAAACCUUAGCGUGGUGUGGAUGGUUAGGGGAGGGUUAUGUGGAAGGUCUUGUCACGAUUUCCCCCUUUGCAGUAUCAUGGAGAUACUUCGGGGCAUGGCGACAUGUGUGGAAUCGUGUCUUGUGGGUACAGUUGUACACCUCUGGCCAGAGUAAAACUAUUCGAAUAGCCGUGCCCGCGGUUAUGGGCGAUCAACCAGAUUCACCGUGAUUAGUCUCACCCCUAGUUUAGCUUAAUGAACUGGUGUAGUUCAGGUGGUUGGUUGGGCCUGUUGCAACGUGGUGUAGCGUUGGACAGUGAUUGGUUAAUAUUGAUUAAUUAGUACAGCUGUUUUACUGCUUUCAACUACUGCUUUGAAAUGCCUGCUUUAUGCAAAAGAACCCCUAGCUUCCUUUGGUUAUAUCCUGCAUCAUACCUCCUCUUCCGGUAUGACUUGCUGAGUACAGUGGGUAGUACUUAGUCUUGCUCUCUUUUCCCCCCACACCAGAGCUGAAGAUCUUUCUAGUUGGAGCUGUCUUGUUGAAGUUGGUUUUGUCGCUGCCGUCAAGGAUUGCCUGUGGAGUGGAGUCGCCUGCUGCUGAAGUCAAGCUUCCCAGUUUAGCUCGCUUUAAUCUUUCCCGCUGCAUUUGUAAUCUUUUAUAUUUUUGUAAGACGUGGGUCUGUAUGUCAACAAUUGUCGUUUGUGUACCCUGGCUGGUCCUGGACAGGGGUUUAAUGCACAUUCAGCUUAGAAAUUCUGGUUCGAGAAUUUCUGGGUGUGACAAGUUGGUAUCAGAGCCGACCUUGACCGUAGGACAAGCCAACUGGAAAACCUAAGAGCCCUCUGAACCCCUUUUCAUAUGCAUAUGCCCUUUUCACUUGGAUUUGUUUUGGGAAAAUGUGGGGUUUUGCCUCUUUGAUUGGUGGGGAAAAUCUUGGUCGUUCAUUUGGAUCGGAUUUUUAAAUUUAGCUCAGUCUAGGGUUUUAAAAAAAAUAUUAUUUGGAGUUUAUUCGACAGUCAGUCGGGAAUCUAUCAGGUGAUAUGCAUUAGGUCAUGUCUAGGUUCGAUGGGGCAAUUGUAUGCGUAUCAUUAUAGCUAUUCAUCUAUUUCAUGCAUUAAGUUAUUGUUUAGUCAGUUGCAUUAGUGUCUUUUGUCUCGGUUCGUGAAAAAUGUUGUUCUAUGCAUAAAAAUCAUCAUGCUCGGUUAUUUAUUCGAGUCUUCUUUUGCUUUGUUUAAUUUGGAUUUGAGCAUGAGUUGGUUCCUAUCCCUUGUCUACUUUAGAUGUCAGUCCUAUCCCUCGUUUGCAAGCGCCGCUCCGAGCUUCAGAGUCGUCGCCCUUAGCUUUAUCGUCUUCUUAGUCUGUUUGCUUGCUAGUUUUCGUGUUUAGGUUUGUUGCUUGUGGGUUAGUCGGCGGUCGAUAUCAUGUGUCAGUGGUAUGACUGCCUCAAUUAGGAGUGGCGUGCCUCUUUUUCAGUGUUUUAAUCAAGAGUAAGAUAAUUGCACUUAAAUUCAUAAGCAAGAUUAGUUUCUGAGCCCCCUGUUUUUCUUCCUUUUCUCAUAUUUCUCCCUAUCCCCUUCAGAUGGAGACAAGGAAUGGUUCACGCGACUCCAACAAUGCCAGUGGCAGCGAAGAGCCGAUCAAUGGAGCACGUGCCAACAGUGCAUCUGACAACAGUCCGUCCCCACCGCCCGAGAACCCAACAAUUGCUCAGGCGUUGAACAAUCAGACUCAGAUGAUGACAAUGAUGAUGCAACAGAUGCAGCAACAGUACCAUCAGGUGUUGCAGCAGGUGCAGCAGCAAGCACAGCAGCAGCAGCAGAACCUGCAGUUUGGUCCUCCACCUCCUCAGUCCAAACUGUUAGAAUUUCUUCAUGUCAAGCCGCCCACCUUCUCAAGCACCACCAACCCAAUCGAGGCCCACGACUGGCUUCAUGCCAUUGGGAAGAAGCUGAAUCUUUUGCAAUGCAACGAGCAAGAGAAGGUUGCUUUUGCUACACACCAGCUGCAAGGCCCCGCUUCUGUUUGGUGGGACAACUACAUGGUGACCCGUCCAGCUGGGGCAGAGGUUACUUGGACAGAGUUUUGUCAUAGUUUCAAUAAAGCCCAGGUUCCCGAGGGAGUUGUGGCGCAAAAGAAGAGAGAGUUCCAUUCCCUGCAACAAGGAACCAGAACAGUUAUAGAGUAUUUGCAUGAGUUCAACCGCCUCGCGCGCUAUGCCCCUGAGGACGUGCGUACCGAUGCCGAGAAGCAGGAGAAGUUUAUGUCUGGUCUUGAUGAUGAAUUGACCAACCAGUUGAUCUCUAGAGACUAUGAGGACUUUGAGAAGCUUGUGGACAAGGCUAUUCGUCAAGAGGAGCAGUGUAACAAAAUGAACCGUAAGAGGAAGGCAACCCCGUUCAGGACUCCCCAGGGGAAGUGUUAGAAGCCUCGUUUCACAAUGGGACGUCACGGUGGACCUUCCACCAUGAUUAUCCGGCAGCACCGUCCUUACCACCCGGGUAGCUUCAACAAGAACCACCAUAGUGGCAGUCACAACAACAGUGAGCAGCACGGCCUCAACCCUACUCCGAGUUCACUAAAGAUUCCAGCCCAAUCAGUUCAGCCAGCUCUGCCAGAACAGCCCAAGAGGUUGGGAGAAAAACCCGAACUCUGCUUCAAUUGUAACAAACCCGGACACACGGUUGGAAAGUGCCCGAAGCCAAGACGUGCUGGACCCAAGUUCGUUCAGGCCCGUGUUAAUCAUGCAUCUGCAGAGGAGGCGCAGUCAGCACCAGAGGUUAUAUUGGGCACAUUCCCCGUCAACUCGACACCGGCAGUAAUAUUGUUUGAUUCUGGUGCAACCCAUUCCUUUAUUUCCAAGCGUUUUGCUGGUGCACAUGGGUUAUCUUUAGUGAAGCUUAAGAUACCAAUGCGAGUUCAUACUCCUGGAGGUGGCAUGACCACAACUCACUACUACCCAUCUGUGACAGUUUAAAUUCAAGGGUUGAUUUUUCCAGCCAACCUCAUUCUUCUCGAAUCCAAGGACCUAGAUGUCAUACUUGGAAUGGAUUGGUUGACAAGGCACAGAGGAGUGAUUGAUUGCGCCAGCCGCACCAUCAAGUUGACCAAUGCAAAAGGAGAGGUGGUAACCUUCCAGUCUCCAGUGCCGCAGAAGCCAGGGAUCAGUUUAAACCAGACUGCUGGUGAAGAACAAGAGGUAGCAGUGGAGAAAACCACUAAGAAGCUGGAGGAUAUUCCCAUAGUCAGAGAGUAUCCAGAGGUUUUUCCGGACGAUCUGACAACAAUGCCACCAAAAAGGGAUAUCGAGUUCCGGAUUGACUUGGUACCUGGAACUGCACCGAUCCACAAGAGGCCUUACAGAAUGGGAGCCAACGAGUUGGCGGAAGCCAAGAAGCAAGUCGAUGAACAGUUACAGAAAGGAUACAUCCGCCCGAGCAUGUCGCCUUGGGGUGCUCCGGUUAUCUUUGUGGAGAAGAAAGACAAAACCAAGAGGAUGUGCGUUGACUACCGCGCACUCAAUGAGGUCACCAUCAAGAACAAGUAUCCUUUGCCAAGGAUUGAUGAUCUGUUUGAUCAGUUGAAAGGAGCUACUAUGUUCUCUAAGAUAGACCUGCGAUCAGGCUAUCACCAGUUGAGGAUCCGCGAAGAGGAUAUUCCAAAGACAGCAUUCAUCACUCGGUACGGGUUGUUCGAAUGCACAGAUAUGUCUUUCGGACUCACUAAUGCACCUGCCUUCUUCAUGAAUUUGAUGAACAAGGUGUUUAUGGAAUUUCUAGACAAGUUUGUCGUGGUUUUCAUCGAUGACAUACUCAUCUACUCCAAGUCCAAGGAAGAACAUGAGCAGCAUCUUCGGCUGGUACUUGAAAAGUUAAAAGAGCACCAGCUAUAUGCCAAGUUCAGCAAGUGCGACUUCUGGCUUAAGGAAGUUCAGUUUCUCGGUCACAUCGUGAAUGCUCAAGGAGUAGCUGUGGAUCCAGCAAAUGUGGAGUCAGUUACCAAAUGGACCCCACCAAAGACAGUCACUCAGGUUCGGAGUUUCUUAGGACUUGCGGGCUAUUACCGUCGGUUCAUUGAGAACUUCUCUAAAAUUGCUAAGCCAAUGACACAGCUAUUGAAGAAGGAAGAAAAGUUUAUCUGGUCUGCUGAAUGCAAUAGGAAUUUUGAAGAACUCAAACGACAGUUGGUGUCUGCACCAGUCUUAAUCCUGCCUGAUCAGACGAAAGAUUUCCAGGUCUAUUGUGAUGCAUCUCGCCAGGGGCUAGGAUGUGUGUUGAUGCAGGAUGGCAAAGUGGUUUCUUAUGCUUCACGGCAGUUGCGUCCUCAUGAAGGCAACUACCCGACGCAUGAUCUGGAAUUGGCCGCAGUUGUUCGUGCUUUAAAGAUUUGGCGGCACUAUCUCAUCGGUAACCGUUGUGAGGUAUAUACAGAUCACAAAAGUCUAAAGUACAUCUUCACUCAACCUGAUUUGAAUCUCAGACAACAAAGAUGGUUGGAGCUGAUCAAGGAUUAUGAUAUGGGAAUACAUUAUCAUCCCGGCAAGGCUAAUGUGGUUGUAGAUGCCUUGAGCAGGAAGAGCUACUGCAAUGUUGCAUGGGUAGAGCAACUAUGUUGUGAGGUUCAACGCGAUUUGGAACAUCUGAACCUUGGUAUAGUUGAGCACGGAUUCGUGGUUGCCCUAGAGGCACAGCCCACACUGGUAGAGCAGGUUCGCAUAGCUCAAGCAAGUGAUCCUGAAAUAGCAGAGCUCAAAAAGAACAUGAGAGUUGGAAAAGCCCGAGGUUUUGUUGAGGAUGAACAAGGAACAAUCUGGAUGGGAGAAAGAUUGUGUAUACCCGAAAACAAGGAAUUAAAAGACCUGAUACUAACCGAGGCUCAUCAAACUCAGUAUUCCAUUCAUCCCGGUAGUAUUAAGAUGUACCAAGACCUCAAAGAGAAGUUUUGGUGGGUCAGCAUGAGAAGGGAAAUAGCUGAAUUCGUAGCACUCUGUGACGUCUGUCAACGAGUAAAGGCAGAACACCAAAGGCCAGCAGGUUUGCUACAGCCACUUCAGAUUCCAGAAUGGAAGUGGGAAGAAAUCGGAAUGGAUUUCAUCACCGGUUUGCCCAGGACGUCAUCGGGGCAUGAUUCUAUUUGGGUAGUCGUUGACCGACUCACCAAAGUGGCUCACUUCAUUCUGGUGCACACUACCUACUCAGGGAAGAAAUUAGCAGAACUCUAUCUGGCAAUAAUUAUGUGUUUACAUGGUGUACCUAAGAAGAUCGUGUCUGAUCGAGGAAGCCAAUUCACUUCAAAGUUCUGGCAGAAAUUACAAGAAGAAUUGGGAACCCGGUUGAAUUUCAGCACUGCUUACCAUCCACAAACAGAUGGCCAGACUGAGCGAGUCAAUCAAAUACUAGAGGAUAUGUUGAGAGCCUGUGCGCUUGACUUUGGUGGAGCAUGGGACAAAAGCUUGCCGUAUGCUGAGUUCUCUUACAACAACAGUUACCAAGCUAGUCUGCAAAUGGCACCGUUUGAAGCACUGUAUGGACGAAGGUGUCGUACUCCGCUCUUCUGGGAUCAGACAGGGGAACGCCAGUUGUUUGGUACAGAAGUUUUAAAUGAGGCAGAAGAGAAAGUCAGAGCUGUUAGGGAAAGAUUGAGAAUCGCGCAAUCUCGGCAGAAAGCUAUGCAGACAACCGCCGAAGGGAGCUCGCUUUCGAAACAGGGGAUUAUGUGUAUCUCCGUAUCACUCCGCUCAGGGGAGUACAUCGCUUCCAGACCAAAGGAAAGUUGGCACCACGCUUUGUGGGACCAUACAGGAUCUUGGAACGUAGAGGUGAAGUUGCUUACCAGCUUGAGCUUCCCUCCAACAUGCUUGGCAUCCACAACGUGUUCCACGUCUCUCAGUUGAAGAAAUGUUUGAGAGUUCCUGAGGAACAGGCAAGUCCGGAUCACAUCGAAAUUCAGGAAGAUCUGACGUAUGUGGAGAAGCCGACUCGUAUCCUCGAAACCAGCGAGAGAAGGACCAGAAACAAAGUAAUAAGAUUCUGCAAGGUUUAGUGGAGCCACCACUCAGAGGAAGAGGCCACUUGGGAAAGAGAAGAUGAGUUGAAGGCCGCCCACCCGCACCUCUUCGCCAGCUCUUCCGAAUCUCGGGGUCGAGAUUCCGUUUAAGGGGGGUAGGUUUGUCACGCCCAGAAGUUUCCCCCUUUUUCCUUGCUUUAAAUAUUUGUUAAAUAAAUCGUCCGAAGAAAUUAUCUUAAUUAACCUAGAGCUAAAUCCCUAGUUAAUAAAUGCAAUUAAUAAUCGGAAAUAGCGUGGUGGAAUUUUUCUUGAGUUCCCCAUGAUCCAAUGCAUUAACAAGAUUUUUAGUGGAAUUUUCAGAGCCUUGGAAAUAAUUUUAACCAAUUAAAAAUCACCAAAGUGCAAUUUUAAAUCCCAGGAAAAAUCCUUUCUUCUUUUUCUUUUUCUUUUCCUUCUCUUUUCUCUAUUGGGCCGUCGGCCCACUCCCUCCCGCGCUCGGCCUCCUUCCUUUGGGCCGGCCCGUUCCCCUUUCCCCUCCCCAAAGUCCUACCUCCCUCCCCUCUCUCCGGGACGCUGACAGGUGGGGCCCACCUGUCAGGUCAUCCCCUUCCUCCAGCCGCCCGCCCCACGACGGCAACCGCCGCCGAAACUGUCCGCGCCACCGCCUUCUUCGCUCCUCUCGCGCCCACGCCGCGCCGCUCCCGCGUCCUCCCCACGUCGCCGCCCUCUCCCCCGCAUCUCCCGGCCCUCGCGCGCGCUCGCAAGGGGCGGGAUUCGAAUUUGAAUCCCCCCCAUUCUCUCUCUCUCCACCCCCACGUCGCCGGCCAAAUCGGCCACCUCCCCGGCCACGUCCGCCCCCUCCCGCACCUAUAAAUCACUCCCCACGUCCCCCUCUCUCGUUUUUCGCACUCGCCGCGCCCUCCCGUGCUUCCUAUCGUCGCCGCGCCGCUUGCCCCUUGUGCCGCCGCCUACCGCCGUCUCCAGCCGCGCGCCACCACCGCUAGAGCCGCUGCCGCGCCGUGAAGCCGCCGUCGUCGCGCUCGCGGGUGCCGUCCGCUCCUCGGCCGCCGCUUGGUUGCCGCCAAUCACCCCCGAAGCCCCGUUUCCCUCGCUCGCCGGUGAGCUCUCCUUUUUCAUCCAUCUCCGGCCGGCCACUUUGGUCGUUGCGGUCGUCCUCUCCACCCCUAAUCCCUCUCCUCCUUUCCUAUAGGUGUCGCCUCCGCCCGUCCGCCCCUCCUCGUAGCCGGGUCACCGCCGCCUUUCAUCCCCCGCUCUGGUCGCCGUGCUCGCCGGUGAGGCUCCCCUCUGCUCCCCUUUUUCCCUCUCUCCCGUGUGCGCCGCCGUCCUUCGCGCGUGCGCCGUCGCCUUCGGCCGCUGCCGCCGCUUUUCGCGCCGCCCGCCGCUGCCUCCCACGCCGCCGGUUGCCGUCGCCGGCGACCGCAUGCCGCCGCCGUUCGCCAUGCUUGCCGGCCGGCUUGAAGCCGAGGCCGAGCCCGGUGGCUGCUCCCUGCACCGUCCGAUCGGCUUGGGCCGAUCCGGACCCUUGGUCCCGUGGACCGGCCGCCUUGAGCCGCUGACAUGCGGGCCCCGCCUGCCGGCGCCCCCUUCCUCUCCCCUUUGAGCCGCUGACCAGUGGGCCGCGCCUGUCGGCGCCGCCCCCCCCCCCCCCCUUCGCUGACGUCAGCCCUGGGUAUUAUUGCGCAAUAAAUUGAUUAAGGACUUUUUCUUUAUUAGUAAAAACAUAGUUUAUCUUCUAAAAUUCAUAAGUAAUUCAUCCGAGCUCCGUUUAAGUCCAUUCAAGUCUCAGUAAAUCAAGAAAAAUGAAAGAAUCCAUUAAAAAUAGUUUUGUUUCCUGUUUCAGUAGUCUUAUAGCAUGUUUUGCUUGUGUGCUUUGUUUGUCGCGUAGGUUUCGGCCGUUUCGUCGAUCCGCGGUUUCUCAAAGACGUUGCUGUGGUCUCAUUAGUUCGAGCAGCAAGGCAAGUCAUGCAAUACGUUUGAUCAUAUUGUACCCAAUUUACCAAUAUCCCGCAUUUCUAUUAAAUGUUGCAUUCUUUUACAAUGUAAUGUGGGAUAGGUUCUAUUCCUCAGCCACAUAUUGGUUACCUUAUGCCAUUGAUAACUUGGGUAUCAAAAUGACUAGAUGUUGGCUUAGGAAAUGCUUAGCCAUGCUUAGUUCAACUAGUACACAAAUGGGGAUCACAUUAUUUCGUAGACUCUAACUAUUGGCAUAGCUUUAGAUUGGUGCCACCGCAAGGGUGUCAGUUAAUUAAAAUAUUCUGAAUGGCGGGCUGUGAGUGCAUGGUUUUGCUGGUCGCACCCAUAGCAGUUAAGGACCGGUUCACGGGAAACCCUGGGAGACUUACCGUGCUUACCACAAGCGGGAGUGGGUAACUGCUUGAUCUGAAGUAUAGCUCGACCCUUUCCUAGGCACCGGUGGCAAGGGUGGGCGUGAUGGAGUUGGGUCGGCCGAGGUGUUCGGUUGUCCAGCUGCCGGAUUCACCGCGGCGCAAGAGGGGACCGCCCACUGCCUUUUGAGGGGUGGGGGUGAAACCUUAGCGUGGUGUGGAUGGUUAGGGGAGGGUUAUGUGGAGGGUCUUGUCACGAUUUCCCCCUUUGCAGUAUCAUGGAGAUACUUCGGGGCAUGGCGACAUGUGUGGAAUCGUGUCUUGUGGGUACAGUUGUACACCUCUGGCCAGAGUAAAACUAUUCGAAUAGCCGUGCCCGCGGUUAUGGGCGAUCAACCAGAUUCACCGUGAUUAGUCUCACCCCUAGUUUAGCUUAAUGAACUGGUGUAGUUCAGGUGGUUGGUUGGGCCUGUUGCAACGUGGUGUAGCGUUGGACAGUGAUUGGUUAAUAUUGAUUAAUUAGUACAGCUGUUUUACUGCUUUCAACUACUGCUUUGAAAUGCCUGCUUUAUGCAAAAGAACCCCUAGCUUCCUUUGGUUAUAUCCUGCAUCAUACCUCCUCUUCCGGUAUGACUUGCUGAGUACAGUGGGUAGUACUCAGUCUUGCUCUCUUUUCCCCCCACACCAGAGCUGAAGAUCUUUCUAGUUGGAGCUGUCUUGUUGAAGUUGGUUUUGUCGCUGCCGUCAAGGAUUGCCUGUGGAGUGGAGUCGCCUGCUGCUGAAGUCAAGCUUCCUGGUUUAGCUCGCUUUAAUCUUUCCCGCUGCAUUUGUAAUCUUUUAUAUUUUUGUAAGACGUGGGUCUGUAUGUCAACAAUUGUCGUUUGUGUACCCUGGCUGGUCCUGGACAGGGGUUUAAUGCACAUUCAACUUAGAAAUUCUGGUUCGAGAAUUUCUGGGUGUGACAUGUAGAACCAUUUCUGCAUCCAGUUCCUGUCCCAUUUCGCCAUCGAUGCAGGCACUGGCCAAGCAUCUAAACACUCCGGCCACAGCAUGAAGUUCACGCAGCCGAAAACGGUUUUCCUCGGACUCGCCGGCGUCUGCACGUCUUUGGUCGAGGCGCAUGCAGUAAACAGAGCGGCGAAUAGCUCGGCGGUAGGGGCGAACCCACAGGUCCGGCACAUCCAAGCGAAAACCACCAGCUUCGGGAACGCUGACGGGCUAAGCUAGGGAAGCCUAACCUCAUACAUCGAAAGCACUGAAGGCAAGAAGUUGUCGCAUGGGAAGCGAACCCCAGCAGCGAAGUAUGCGGCGAAGACAACCGUUCGCCCAUCCCCAGGCGAGGGAACAACGGCCUCGCCCCCGCAUGAUCCUUGGCCCUCUGUGAGAGAACCGGAUGAUACCAGUUCAUCCAAGUCGGCCUCUUUGACAAGUGAUUUGUCAAGGAAGCACGACCAUCCUUUGCCAAGGCUUCCAAGAUCUUCGCCAGUUGAUCCGGCCUUGGUAGACUUGCGGGGAGCCAUUGGGCUCGUAGCACAGGAAAGAGAGGUAAAAAGCCGAAAGGCUAGGAGCACGACGAUGGCGAAAAAGCUAAAAAACAGGAGAGUGAAGAGAGCACGGAACGUGUUAAGCGGUAAAAAGGGAAGAGCACGGGGAGAGUGAAAAAUGGCAGGCCGUUUUGGGGGUAUAUAUAACCCCGUAGCGAGACCGUUCGCCUGCCAACCAAUCGAGCUCUGACACAUGUCAAAGGGCAGACGAAACGGUAAAUUCCCAUCGGGACGGUGCCGAACAGUUAAAAGCCCGAUUACGGAGAAGGAAAAGCCCACAGGGCCCAUUACUAUUCAUAGUAAUAAAAAA
rnacentral:lncRNA from 1 species